AAAUAGUCCUUUCCAGAGAGAGUUACCAGGGCGUGAAACCGUUAAUUGGCAAACGAAUCGGAGCCACGAAGUCGUUUCGCUGACAAGUUAAGCCGAGUUCAGCAUUAUAACGCAACUUAUAAUGUGUAUUCUCGUAGUUUAACCAAAAAUCUUUGUAAACGUACACUGCAACCAGUUAGACAAUUGGAAAUGGGCUUAGUCUAAAGUUAGUAGUAGCAUUUAAAUUUUUAAUUUUAAUGUUGCUGAAUUUUAGUCUUAGGUGAACUAUUUCCAAAUACUGACUGGCAAAAUAAAAAUCAAUUUCUUUAGCAAAUUGUUAUACAAAAAGUGGUUAAAUGCAUUAAUGUUUACAUAUUUAACCAUUUAGUUUUAAGCUCAGCGUUUUUAAAUUCAAACUUGCUUGCUACCAAUGGGGCAACUCUUGGUGCUUGUAUUGCUUUGUCUAAUUGGGCGUUGACUUGAUUAAGUGUUGCUUAAAUAUGCUACGAUUGAAUGUUAAUGUAAUUUAAUUUACAAUUUUGAAUUGGCAGUGAGUAGGUCGGCUUUCCGAACGACCCGUCUUGAAACACGGACCAAGGAGUCUAAUUAGGCAUCAAGUCGAUCGGUCUUGAAUAGGCCAGAACGAAUUGUACUUACAAUCGAAGGCGUAGAGACAUGUGAUCAUGCAAUUAAAUCAAUUGUUUUGCGCAACAUGUGCCUGUUCGUAUAGCAAUGUGCGCAAGCAUUGCUGGGCGGAGCAAAGAGAUGCCUGAUUGGUACCCGAAAGAUGGUGAUGCUUGGGCAAAUUGAAGCCAGAGGAAACUCUGGUGGAGGAUUUAGCUGACGUGCAAAUCGAUCGUCAGACCUGAGUAUAGGGGCGAAAGACUAAUCGAACCAUC
rnacentral:rRNA from 1 species